UCAUCACUGAGGAGACCAACCCAGGUUGAAACACUGUGUCUGAUGA
rnacentral:hammerhead_ribozyme from 1 species